rnacentral:rRNA from 1 species
UUUCUUCCUGGCAAAGAAACCUUUUAUACUGUGGGCUUAGCUGCUACAUGUUGGGCCAUCUGGUUGGUGCGUAAUCGGGCCACUUUUGAGAAAAAACAGAUUAAAACUCCUUUUGAGAUUAUUUUCUCCCUUUGUUUGUUUCUGUUAUACUGGACAGGUUUGCAGAAAGGAGAGGCGGCUGGAGAGCUUCGUGCAGGUGCAGAGAUGAUCAGGAACGGCACGCUGCAGCUGAUGAAGCUGUGUGACCCUGUCAAGCAAACGAUCCAGACGUGA